AAAUUGACACCGUAACUUCGGGAGAAGGUGUGCCGCUGGCGGUUAGUGACUUCGCGUCACGAAGCUGUCGGUGGUCGCAGUGAAAUGGCGGUUGUGACUGUUUACUAAAAACACAGGACUCUGCGAAGUCGUAAGACGACGUAUAGGGUCUGAUGCCUGCCCGGUGCUGGAAGGUUAAGGGGAUAUGUCAGCGCAAGCGAAGCAUUGAACCGAAGCCCCAGUAAACGGCGGCCGUAACAAUAACGGUCCUAAGGUAGCGAGAUUCCUUGUCGGGUAAGUUCCGACCUGCACGAAUGGCAUAACAACAUCCGCACUGUCUCGACCAGGGACUCAGCGAAAUUACAUUGGGGGUGUAGAUGCCCUCUACCCGCGGAAAGACGGAAAGACCCCAUGAACCUUUACUGCAACUUGGCAGUGAUUUUCGGGUUGUUCUGCGUAGGAUAGGUGGGAGGCUUUGAAGCCGGGCUUCCGGGUUCGGCAGAGCCAACGUUGAAAUACCACCCUGAAUAAUCUGGAAAUCUAACCUGCGCCCAUGAUCUGGGCGAGGGACACUGCCUGGUGGGCAGUUUGACUGGGGCGGUCGCCUCCUAAAUUGUAACGGAGGCGUGCGACGGUUCCCUCAGGCUGAUUGGAAACCAGCCGUAGAGUGCAAACGCAUAAGGGAGCUUUACUGCGAGACUGACAAGUCGAACAGUUGCGAAAGCAGGUGUUAGUGAUCCGGUGGUACCACAUGGAAGGGCCAUCGCUCAUCGGAUAAAAGGUACUCUGGGGAUAACAGGCUGAUCGCGCCUGAGAGUUCACAUCGGCGGCGCGGUUUGGCACCUCGAUGUCGGCUCAUCGCAUCCUGGGGCUGGAGCAGGUCCCAAGGGUUUGGCUGUUCGCCAAUUAAAGCGGUACGCGAGCUGGGUUUAAAACGUCGUGAGACAGUUUGGUCCCUAUCUUCCGUGGGCGCAGGACACUUGAGAGGAGCUAUCCAUAGUACGAGAGGACCUGGAUGGACGAACCUCUGGUGCUCCGGUUGUCACGCCAGUGGCAUAGCCGGGUAGCCAUGUUCGGAACAGAUAACCGCUGAAGGCAUAUAAGCGGGAAGCUGGCCUCAAGGCUAGGUGUCCCUGACGCAAGUCACUAAAGGCCCCUCGAAGACUACGAGGUUGAUAGGCUCGGUGUGGAAGCGCUGCGAGGCGUGGAGCUAACGAGUACUAAUAGGCCGUGCGACUUGACCU
rnacentral:rRNA from 1 species